UGCUAUAAUGCAAGUCGUACGCUUCUUUUUCCACCGGAGCUUGCUCCACCGGAAAAAGAGGAGUGGCGAACGGGUGAGUAACACGUGGGUAACCUGCCCAUCAGAAGGGGAUAACACUUGGAAACAGGUGCUAAUACCGUAUAACAAUCGAAACCGCAUGGUUUUGAUUUGAAAGGCGCUUUCGGGUGUCGCUGAUGGAUGGACCCGCGGUGCAUUAGCUAGUUGGUGAGGUAACGGCUCACCAAGGCCACGAUGCAUAGCCGACCUGAGAGGGUGAUCGGCCACAUUGGGACUGAGACACGGCCCAAACUCCUACGGGAGGCAGCAGUAGGGAAUCUUCGGCAAUGGACGAAAGUCUGACCGAGCAACGCCGCGUGAGUGAAGAAGGUUUUCGGAUCGUAAAACUCUGUUGUUAGAGAAGAACAAGGAUGAGAGUAACUGUUCAUCCCUUGACGGUAUCUAACCAGAAAGCCACGGCUAACUACGUGCCAGCAGCCGCGGUAAUACGUAGGUGGCAAGCGUUGUCCGGAUUUAUUGGGCGUAAAGCGAGCGCAGGCGGUUUCUUAAGUCUGAUGUGAAAGCCCCCGGCUCAACCGGGGAGGGUCAUUGGAAACUGGGAGACUUGAGUGCAGAAGAGGAGAGUGGAAUUCCAUGUGUAGCGGUGAAAUGCGUAGAUAUAUGGAGGAACACCAGUGGCGAAGGCGGCUCUCUGGUCUGUAACUGACGCUGAGGCUCGAAAGCGUGGGGAGCAAACAGGAUUAGAUACCCUGGUAGUCCACGCCGUAAACGAUGAGUGCUAAGUGUUGGAGGGUUUCCGCCCUUCAGUGCUGCAGCUAACGCAUUAAGCACUCCGCCUGGGG
rnacentral:rRNA from 1 species